AUUGGUUUUCGGNCCNAGAGACCGGCGCACGGGUGCGUAACGCGUAUGCAAUCUACCUUUUGCAGGGGAAUAGCCCAGAGAAAUUUGGAUUAAUGCCCCAUAGUAUAUAGACUUCGCAUGAAGAUUAUAUUAAAGUUACAACGGCAAAAGAUGAGCAUGCGUCCCAUUAGCUAGUUGGUAAGGUAACGGCUUACCAAGGCUACGAUGGGUAGGGGUCCUGAGAGGGAGAUCCCCCACACUGGUACUGAGACACGGACCAGACUCCUACGGGAGGCAGCAGUGAGGAAUAUUGGACAAUGGGCGCAAGCCUGAUCCAGCCAUGCCGCGUGCAGGAUGACGGUCCUAUGGAUUGUAAACUGCUUUUAUACGAGAAGAAACACCGGUUCGUGAACCGGCUUGACGGUAUCGUAAGAAUAAGGAUCGGCUAACUCCGUGCCAGCAGCCGCGGUAAUACGGAGGAUCCAAGCGUUAUCCGGAAUCAUUGGGUUUAAAGGGUCCGUAGGCGGCCUUAUAAGUCAGUGGUGAAAUCUCCCCGCUCAACGGGGAAACGGCCAUUGAUACUGUAGGGCUUGAAUUAUUAGGAAGUAACUAGAAUAUGUAGUGUAGCGGUGAAAUGCUUAGAGAUUACAUGGAAUACCAAUUGCGAAGGCAGGUUACUACUAAUUGAUUGACGCUGAUGGACGAAAGCGUGGGUAGCGAACAGGAUUAGAUACCCUGGUAGUCCACGCCGUAAACGAUGGAUACUAGCUGUUGGGGGUAACCUCAGUGGCUAAGCGAAAGUGAUAAGUAUCCCACCUGGGGGAGUACGUUCGCNAGAAUGAAACUCAANGAAUUGACGGGGGCCCGCACNAGCNGUGGANCNUGUGGUUUAAUUCNAUGCACGCGAAAANCCUUACC
rnacentral:rRNA from 1 species